UCGAGGAUCUUCGGCAAUGAGCGCAAGCUUGACCGAGCGACGCCGCGUGAGCGAUGAAGGCCUUCGGGUUGUAAAGCUCUUUAGUGGGGGAGAAAAGCCAGCAAUGGUGUGAUCUAUCCCAAAAAUAAGCACGGGCUAAGUUCGUGCCAGCAGCCGCGGUAAGACGAACCGUGCGAACGUUGUUCGGAAUAACUGGGCUUAAAGGGAGCGUAGGCGGGCUAACAAGUCUGGGGUGAAAUCCCGCGGCUCAACCGUGGAACUGCCUCAGAUACUGACGGCCUAGAGGAAGGUAGGGGCAUGCGGAACUAACGGUGGAGCGGUGAAAUGCGUUGAUAUCGUUAGGAACUCCGGUGGCGAAAGCGGCGUGCUGGACCUUUUCUGACGCUGAGGCGCGAAAGCUAGGGGAGCAAACG
rnacentral:rRNA from 1 species